rnacentral:rRNA from 1 species
UACAGAGGUCCCGAGCGUUGUUCGGAUUCACUGGGCGUAAAGGGUGCGUAGGUGGUGAGGUAAGUCGGAUGUGAAAUCUCCGGGCUCAACCCGGAAAUGGCAUUGGAAACUACCUUGCUAGAGGAUUGAGGGGGAUUGGAAUACUUGGUGGAGCGGUGAAAUGCGUAGAUAUCAAGAGGAACACCGGUGGCGAAGGCGGCUCUCGUGGUCCAUUACUGACGCUGAGGUACGAAAGCUAGGGGAGCAAACGGG